UUCCUUGUGUCUCAGAUGGUAAAGAAUUAGUCUGCAAUGCUGGAGACCCAGGUUCGAUCCCUGGGUUGGGAA
rnacentral:tRNA from 1 species